UCAUGGAAACAUCAAAUAAUAAAACAACACAGCAUCAUCACUACUGCUAAUAAUAAUAUGGAAAUGGGAGAAAUAUAACCAGAACUCACCAUCUGUUGUGAAGCUAGAGGCUGUUGAGUAGUUCUCCACUCUCUCCCAGCUCCUGUUAGCUGCUUUUCUGACUGGAUCAGAGAGGAUUGUUGAGUUGGUCUCAGUUCCUCCUCUUCCCCACAGCCACUUCCCUGAGGGAUUUUUGGGUGCCUGUCUGCUGCCCUCCUAUCACUCCUCCUCUUCAGAAGUUGUCUUAUCUCUGGGGCUAGGGAAUUCCCUCAGUUUCUCCCACUCUUUUUGCCCCUUUGUGGGUUUCUUUUUCUAUACCCUGGAACAUGAACAGGGAGUACUGAAAGAGGAGGAGAGGCCCACAAAGCCAGGCAGCAGGCCUAGAAAGAGCAGGUCUCCGCAUCCUACCCCCAUUGAGGGACCUUGUGCUGCUUACCACACUGGGAGAAGAGGGGAGUUUAGGCACAGAGAGGACUGAGGAAAGAGGCAGGACACAAACCAAAGAGUGGCAACCACAACUCCUGAUUGGAAUGAGAAUUGGGAAUGGGCUUUUCAUGCCAGCACACCCCACUGGAAUUCUUGUACGUCGAGCUUUUAGCAGUGUUGACAACUUUCAUAAUUUUAUUGAGAAUCUCAACACUGAUUUGUUCUUAAAGCCCCUGCUCCUGGAAUGACGGGAUUACAUGAGAAACUCAGCUUUCAUUUUUUUAAACAGUCAAAAACUUUCCUUAUGUAUUUGAGACACGUUUGAUCACUUUAUACAAACUGCACAACUGCAACUGCCAUCAUAAGAAAUAGCCAUAAUAGAAGUAAUUUUGCUGAGUGGAUAAUUAAUUCAGAAAGUGAACAUUUGACCUGGAUUAGCAUCUUAAAUUGCCUGAAAGAUGAGGUAAGGAGAUAUAAUAAUUCUUCUCAGUGCGGGGCUAGUUUUUAUGAAUAAAAGGCACAGGGCUGGAGUUGGUUCUGAGAGCCAGUAUGUUGUGACAGAACAGCUCUAUUGGCAAAGUUCAAAGCAUCUGCCUCUAUGGUGAAGAGCUUGGCAAGAUCCAGAAGCAUGAGAAUGGGACCUGAGGUAAAGGAUCUUUUGAGCUGAUCAAAUGCGAACUAUGUCUUUGGUGACCAGACGAAAUGGACUCCCUUUCAAAGAAGCACAGGUAUGGGAGCAA